GUGUGCUUCUUCCGAUGUGGGAAUAUAGCAGUGUUUUGCCAAAUGUUUUACGAUUUCACAUGUCUGCUAAAGAAAUAGCAUGGCUCAAUCAUUAU